CACUGGCCAACAGCUCACGCCCCGAGUUGCAUAAAAUCACUUGCUGGUUGGAAAUUCUGUGAAUUCGGCGUGUGUGUAUGUGUACGUGUUUGAGAAGAGCCAGACCCCAAUAGAAACAAAAGCUGAUGGAAAUCACGCAUGGUACUGUCAAACCGAACACCAGCCUUUAGAAAAUAAAAGUGAACACGGCCAGCCCGCUGCACCCUGCUCCCUUAAUAUCCAGCGCUUGACAGCGCCGGAGCUGUCAGAUGAGAGGCGGCGUCAAUGGAAUAAAGAGUUCUUGAAGUAGGGCAGCUGCCACGCCCAGAACUAAAGUUCCCAGAACCCCUUGCACCUGGCUGUGGUCAUGUGACGAGUUCCUACCAAUCAAGAGCAUCACGUCUGAGAUGGGGUUUUAAAUGAGAUGUGGUUUCAGCCUAGAAUAAUGACCCAGGUUGGACGCAAAUGACGCAAAUGAACUUUUAGAGUUACAAAUAUCGGUGGAUUUGCCCUCCCCUGGGGCCCCCAGCAUGUCAAUGGAAGGAUGUAAUAGCAGGGAAGACUUGACAAUCCCCGCCCAAAGGGAAACAUGCUUUGCAAAAUUGGUGGAAGCUACUGGGUGUUCAUGCGAAACACAAUGCUUCGUUUUUUUGUUUGACAAGACAACAAUUGAAGGAUACUCCACUCCAGCCAGUCCUGGAAGAGGUGUUUGGUGGCCCCAUUCUUCUGACAGCCAUUCCAAUUCGUGGAAAAGGAACACACUUUGGCACUGGAAGCACCUGGAUUUGAACUUUUUCUCUGCCAUUUACUGGCCAAGUGACCUUGGAGAUGAAUAUUGGCUAAAGGAGACCCUGACAGGUUUGCAGAGAUUUUCUGGAAAUGGAGAUGGAGGUUUGCACGCAGAGCGUGUUCUCAGAAACAACACCUGUUGCGGGAAUAAACAAGUCAAUUGACAAGCCAAUGAGCUGUUGGAAAAUUUCGGCUGAUGCCAUCCAUCAGGUUACAGUUGGCCACAGGAAGACAUUCUAGGGACACUGGCCACAUGGAAUGUUCCUUCUCCAGAUUAAAUGCCGUUCCACCGAACGAACUGCUCUCGGCUGAAGUGGGGAAGCGUGAUUUGAUUAGUAUAGAUUCUGGAAUCGGGUCCCAGGACGGCCCUGGCUCUGGGUCUGGCCCCAUGCUGGGCGCUCAACAGAGAGAGUGGCUGGAUUCUCUGCAGCCCUGUGAGGAAUGCUCAGUCAUCAUCCCCCCAUUUUACAGAUGAGGAAACAGAGGAUCACUGAGGGACACUGAGGAUUACGCCAAGGCUCACGGUUGGGGAGCUGUUCUCCAUGGCUGAAAAAUACAGAUGUCUCCUGCCUGCCAAGAUCAGAAAUUCUACUUCUCUUCCAUAUUGGAUUAAGGGUUUUCUUGGCCAGCCUUGCAGCAUGCAGGUGCUCCUGUGCCGGGGAGCGAACCCACAGCGGAGCAGCAACUUGAGCCCUAGCAGGGACAAAGCUGGAUCUUCAACCCGCUGAGCCACGAGGGAACUCUUGGACACUCACAGUUGGAACCCAGCCACUGUGUGCCCCUGCUGUCCUGUUGAGAGCAUGCCAGUGCCAGACCUCUCACAAGGAGGGGGCAUCUCUGAGUUUGCGAAGAAAAUAUUAUAGAAACAUGAGGAAGAAAGGAGUAAAGUUGACCAAAUUAAAGGAUUUGCUCAGAUAUGAUACAAAUGCCAGAUGGAAGGAUGCGGAUGAAGAGGACAGGAAUAAUCAGUGUUUACAGCAGGGGAAGUGGUGAUGCUUGUGCUGCAUUGGACCCGGGUUCACCUGUGGAAUUAUAAGCCCUUCAACCAGCUCCUUCAGUUCAAUGAGAACAACCUUGGGGAAGCCUUGGGGUUUCAUCUUUCACAUCGUGGGCAUGGCCUGUGCUGAUAUCCUGGGGCUGGUGAGAGGGUAAGUGGCAUGAGAGGUUUGGGGUGGGUUUUUUCUUAUAGAAUGCCAGCUUGGAUCCUGGUUCCAUCCACCAUGGAGCCAAGGACCUGGCUGCCACUUAGUUUCUGAUUCCUGCCACUGGCAAUCCACUCAACAAUCAGGUAAGCACGGUACCAUCCAGUCCUGACUUCCGGAGGCAAGAAGCAGACAUCCUGCCUCCCAGGGAGAAAAUGCACGUGCGUUUUUGGUGGGUGUUUAAUGACUUCUGGCACAGAGAGUGGCGCUGGUGAAAUCUUACUUGCUUCAUCUUUAUAAAAUAUUUAGUCUUUUAAUUAUACGAACUGCCAAGAUUCAGGGCCAUGCUUUAGUCAUUUCCCAAUUGAGCUCUCAGCACAACCUCUCCGAUGGCCUCUUCCGAGCAUCUAUCACAUGUUUGCAAUCUCUCCAAACCCAUGAAUCAUAUUUAAAUGCUUUCCAUAUCCCAUAAUUCUCCUUUUACUGCUCUAUUCUGUUAAUUACACUUGCUCCCUAUUCAUCUGAGACGUACAGUUUGGGGCUGGGAUUUGGAGAGAGAGAAAAAAAUGAAAACAAACUUCAUAAUGAAAGUUCCUUCGUAUUGGUGAGGUUUAAUCCAGGUUUGUGUUUCAGCUUGCACUUUGAAUUCCUUCUCUAACUACUUCUAAGUAACUCCAUCUGCCGCUGGGUUGGUUCCCAUUUUUAAACCCACUGGUUGAAAUCCCUUUGUACAAGGAUCGCCUUCAUAUUUAAUAUGUUUCUCACAUAUCAUCAUCUUCUCACCCACUCAUGUCAACCACAUCAGGCCAUAUCGCUCAAUUUCUACAAAAACCUGAGAACAUAAAAAUGUGCACCAGCACAGCCAGCUGGUGAGUAGCAAGGCUACCUUAAAAAAUAAAAUACAAAGUAUUUGCAAAUGUGUGUGUAUGUGUCUGUGUGUGUGUGUCUGUGUGUGUUUGGGGAGAAUAAAGGUAUGAGUCUAAUUUUAUUAAAGCUGAUGAGAUAGAAGCAGAAAUAUUCACCCAAUGCUGGCAAUCAGCCCAUAAACCUGAUAUUUUCUUUAAACAAAUAGUGAAAUAUUUAAAUGGAGUAUAAUCUAUGAGAGUAUUGAAUCACUAAGUUGUACAAUUGAAACAAGUAUAAUAUUGUAAAUCAACUCCUCUGUAAUCUAAAAAAAAUAGUAAAAUAAAGCUAAAGCUAAAGCUUUAUGGAUUAUCUAGAAAUUCCAGGAAGGAUACAAGGCACAAUAAUGAGAGCUGUUGUCCCUUGUGGGGUCUCUGAUGCUCAAGUGAUCAGCUCCCUGCUCUCUGUGUGAUUUAUCACCAAUUACUUCCUCUGCUUGUGCCUUUCCAUUCUUCCAACACACCACAGACACUCCCACCACAGGGCCUUUGCACCUGCAGUUUCCUCUCCUUGAAAUGCUCUUCCUGGAGCUAGCUCCCUGACUUCCUAUUUCCCAAAUCAAUGAGCUUUUCUUGGGCUUUCAUUUCUAACAAUUUCAACAACCAUUACUCCAAUGCUUCAUUCACAUCCCUCUGCCCUCAUGUCUUGUCUUUGCCUUCGCACUUGUGACCAUAGAGCACAGAAUUUAUUUUGUUUUAUUUUCUUAUUUAUCAUCUUUUCUCUCACUAAAAUGAAACUCUGUGAGAAUGAGGACUUUUGUUUAACUUCGUCCAGUGUCACAUUGCCAAGGGCAGCCACACAGUUGGUGCUCAACAGAUAUUAGUUAGAUGAAUAAACAAAUGAAACCACAAAAAUGGAUCAUUCCAAGGCAGGGAACAGAGUAGCAUGCAGCUAUGGGAGAAUCAUCAAUGUCAAUAUGGAAACAGAAAAAUGUCAAAAGGAAGCAAACUAGGUAAGACAAGCUCUGGUUACCAACUCAUCAUCCCAUCUCUUCUUUUCCAUAAAAAAUUUGAGGGAAAAGACAGCAUAGCAGCCAAUCAAAAUCUCUGUUUUCCAGCCUCCCUUGCACAUAGAGGUGGUCUCAUGACUAAGUUCUAGAAACAGAAAUAAGUAGACACUGUUGGGUGGAGUUCCUGAGAAAUUUCUUAAAAAUGUGCUGACUCAAUUGGUAGGGGCCCUUUUGCCUCACCCUCUUUCUCCUCCUUCUUUUCUAAAACAUAGAUGUGAUGGUUGGCACAGCAGGGGCCAUCCUGUGAUGCUGAGGCAAACUUAAGAUGGACAUAAUGUGCUAGAAAUGGCCAAAGAGCUUGGGUGGAGAUAGGUAGAAAUAGCCAAAGAGAUAGUCUGGGCACAUAUUGUCACUGCUGCAUCAGCAUUGGGCUGCCUUCCUCAGGAUUUCAUUUUAUGAGAAGAAAAUGAAUCCCUCUCUAGUCCAAGUUUUUAUUUGUGAGUCUGAAUUCCUAAUAGUUGAAUGCUGUUACUAAGUCAAACUACUGCGCAAGAUAAGAGCAUCUGCUUUGCUUUUGUUGAACACUUGAUAGUCAUCAUGGAAAAUUGUCUCUGUGUUGGCCACGAUUUAGAAACUGCACUGUCACCUGAUUAUGUAGCAUUUUCUACUCUGAUGCCUGACUAUUACGAUAUCCUCUUUCAAGGCCAACCUACUACAAUAGAGCUACAACAAAUCUGCCCAAGUUUUUUCAAAAAUAAGUUAUUGUACAAAUUUGUACUUGUGUUGAAAAUAGCAUCCUAUAGCAAUCAGAGAUGACUCAAGUAGCUCUCAUUUGCAAAGGCUUGAUCAAGGGAGCUUGAAUCAAAUCAUGCUAAUUGUUCCUUAAGAUAGUUUGAAUGUUUGAAAAUUAGCCACUUUCUUCUAAAUUCAUAAGUUUUGGACUAUUCCUUUUUAGAGAAAAUUAAACUUAUUUGCUAAGUACCCACUUUUACACGUAGUUCAGGGAACUGCUCUUCCCCCACCCACUACCUAUACAUCGUUAUGUAAGUAUCACAGUCUUAGUAAAAUGUAGCAAAUGGUUGGUCCAAGCUGGAGCAGAUGACCCAGUGUGGGCCAAUCAGAGCCCUUCUCUAGCAUUUCUCUUGGAAAUAGAACCAAGAUUGGAAGACACUGAACAUGUACAAACCUGGGAACUCUUGUUGGUCGUGUUUCAACACUCAGAAUGAGAAGUGGAGAAAUCCAACAAUACAGAUAAAGAAGAUAUUGAAGCAGACAUAAAAUGUGUAUGUAUGUGUA